AUUGAACGCUGGCGGACUGCUUUACACAUGCAAGUCGAACGGCAGCACGGACUUCGGUCUGGUGGCGAGUGGCGAACGGGUGCGUAAUAUACCGGAACGUGCCCAGUCUUGGGGGUUCACGUAGCGAAAGAUACGCUAAUACCGCAUACGAUCUACGGAGGAAAGCGGAGGAUCGCAAAACCUCUUGCGAUGAGAGCUCCUGAUAUCAGAUUAGGAAGUUGGUGAGGUAAAGGCUAACCAAGCCGACGAUCUGUAGCUGGUCUGAGAGGACGACCAGCCACACUGGGACUGAGACACGGCCCAGACUCCUACGGGAGGCAGCAGUGGGGAAUUUUGGACAAUGGACGCAAGUCUGAUCCAGCCAUUCCGCGUGCAGGACGAAGGCCUUCGGGUUGUAAACUGCUUUUGUACAGAACGAAAAGGUCUCUAUUAAUACUAGGGGCUCAAGACGGUACUGUAAGAAUAGGCACCGGCUAACUACGUGCCAGCAGCCGCGGUAA
rnacentral:rRNA from 1 species